rnacentral:antisense_RNA from 1 species
AUGACAAACCCUGAGUCUUUUCAUGGGUGAUUCAGUGGAAAUAUUCUCCGGUAGCCAGAGGCGUGGCUUGCCUGGGCCUCUGGGUGCAGCUGCACAGACUCAAGCAGCCUGAAGGAAAGGUGACUGACAGUUAAUGAUCUGAAAAGAACUUGUCUCAACUCAACGUCAUUCCUGGCAUUAUCGAACAAAGCAAUAAACCUCACAGAAUGGAAGCUACAGUGUCCAGGGCCAGCUCUGCUAAGCUUGUGAUGAAUGUUUUCUCAGUAUCCUAUGCUGAAAACAGGUAGAUACUAAUCCCUCCUUCAAGGGAGGGCUGUUGAGUAUUGAAUAAGAUAAAAACAUGGAAGCAAUCAGCACAAUGCUGGAAUCAAGCCUAUCUGUAAUCACAGGGCUAUUUGAAAAAGAGAAGAAAAGGUGUCUUGAAAUUAAACCAACAUGUUUCAAUUAUUUGCUCCUAAGAACAACAGAAGUUUCAACAUUCUGCCAACACAGUAACUCCUGGGAGAUUGGCACAGAAGAAGGCACAAGGAGAGCUUUUAUAUAACCAAAGAUAUUUUUGGACCAUGAAUUCGGAAAUUCUCGGAGCCACCCAUCAAUGCCUGAGCUUCAGUGAGUCCAUAUCCCAUGUCACCUACGGCAAAGGAGAAUCUGAGACUUCUGAAGAGUUUCUUGCUUCUUUCCUGUGGGGCAGUGACUCCACUUCCCAGCAGUAAUGGAAUAUCCUGAAUUAGCUACAUUAAUGUUAGAACCAUUUGGACCUCACCCAGGACUUCAACUACAUUGUGGUUCUAGUAUGUUAGGUUUAUGUUCCCCUGCUUUCUACAAUCCUGUUCAAAGAGUUGCUGACUUAACCACAGAGAGAAUUCCAGAACAUGAGACACAGAAUAAACUUGAACAAUCAUAGUCCAUCCACUUCAUUUUCUCAUCGAAAACCAAAGGUCCAGUGAGGCUCUGGAACUCGACGCUGUAAAGGAGCGAAGGAGCAUCUAUACAGAACCUGGAUGCCUGUCUCCUUAUCCUAC